CAUAAAUCACAUGUGUCUGCAGAGGGCGCUAUCGCUCGGUAAAGUUACUUAAUGUUGUUUUAGGUGAUAUGACACCACUGGUCUCCCUGGUAGCAGUGAGGGAAUCAAACGCGUGGGUGUUCACGUCAGUGCAGAAAUGUGUGACUCACCUUUUAUCCCCUGACGACCUGUGAAUCCUGCUCGACCUUUGAACCCAGUCAUUCCUCUUCUGCCAGGACUCCCGGGUUCACCUGCUCAACGAGGAACGGUCGGACAGAAUCUCAUAACCUUCGAGCUCAUGGAGGAGAAAGUCACAAGCAGGAAACUGGUCUGAGCACAAAGUGGCGGGCGGCGGAGGGCCUGACCUCAGACCAGCUCACCCCGUGUCCUCCUCCGCAGCUUCUGCUGCUGUCAGUCGCCUGUGGAACCAGAGACGCCUCCUCUAUGUCUCCAGGCCAGCUUUUAUUCUGAAAAAUCAAAACAGCCGAGCACAAAAAGCCGGCAGCGCCCAGCGAACAGGAGCUGCGUCCAUGUUCCCCGAGGGCAGUGACGGGUCACCUGAGGU